GUUUGUGGCUGGUGCAUUUGUGCACAGAUCUGGAAGACUAUAGAUUUAGAAGUUGUUCUUCUGAUGAAGACUGAACAUGGCACAUAACAGAGACACAGGGUAAAAAGGCUUUUUUUGGAAACAUCACAAAUCUUAGGAAUGAGACACCCUCAGCAAGCGUACCUCAGUGUAACAGAUGUCGGUGCGCCAACCCUGUCCUGUGGACAAUAACAAGGUGCAGACAUCCCUCUGUAUCACAAAUGAAGAAGACAUACAGCAGAAGCUGGACGGAGCUUCUCCAUAGAGAAUCCUGUUUGGGAAGCCCUUUCUGCAGAUCCUGAUGCCUUCCAGCACACCGUUACAGCGUAGCUGGUGCAUCACCAGAGGGUUCUCCAUGGCCCCAGGAGUCUUGGUCUCAUUGGGGAUGAUGCAGCGUACAAAGUGAGGACCGUGGACCUCCGUGUGGACUCAAAUCCUGAGUACUGCUUGUCUUCUGACCAGGACAUGACAAAAUAAUGGAAAGAAGAUGCUUGUUACCAGAGAAAGACUGACCCCCACUACUGAUAUGAAGAUAUCUAAAGCCUUGGAAGGACGAGGCCAUGUGAGAUCAAGGUCAACAUGCAGCCCUAAACAAGUGCCAAGCUGAUAUCUACCCUUCACUUUGCUCCAACAGUGUAAGAACUUGAGCAUCAGUUGCUCCUUUAUGUUGCUGCAGGAGAAUGAAGUACGAGUUACUUGGAAGACAAAGGGGACUACAGCACAGGAGAUCCCAAAGGUCUUAGGUGGCCGUCUGUGAGUUUCACUCCUCAUCUAGCCCUUU